rnacentral:tRNA from 1 species
AGCCCGUUCGUCUAGCGGUGAGGACGCAGGAAUUUCAUUCCUGAAACAUGGGUUCGAUUCCCGUACGGGCUG